rnacentral:rRNA from 1 species
AUUGAACGCUGGCGGCAUGCCUUACACAUGCAAGUCGAACGGCAGCACGGGGGCAACCCUGGUGGCGAGUGGCGAACGGGUGAGUAAUACAUCGGAACGUGCCCAGUAGUGGGGGAUAGCCCGGCGAAAGCCGGAUUAAUACCGCAUGCGACCUACGGGUGAAAGCGGGGGAUCGCAAGACCUCGCGCCGUUGGAGCGGCCGAUGUCAGAUUAGGUUGUUGGUGGGGUAAAGGCCUACCAAGCCGACGAUCUGUAGCUGGUCUGAGAGGACGACCAGCCACACUGGGACUGAGACACGGCCCAGACUCCUACGGGAGGCAGCAGUGGGGAAUUUUGGACAAUGGGGGCAACCCUGAUCCAGCCAUGCCGCGUGCGGGAAGAA